UUGCGCUGGAGCCGUCCUUGAAAUACCACCCUUGUAUGUUUGAUGUUCUAACGCAGGGCCCUGAAUCGGGCUCGCGGACAGUGCCUGGUGGGUAGUUUGACUGGGGCGGUCUCCUCCCAAAGAGUAACGGAGGAGCACGAAGGUUGGCUAAUCCUGGUCGGACAUCAGGAGGUUAGUGCAAUGGCAUAAGCCAGCUUAACUGCGAGACGGACAGGUCGAGCAGGUACGAAAGUAGGUCAUAGUGAUCCGGUGGUUCUGAAUGGAAGGGCCAUCGCUCAACGGAUAAAAGGUACUCCGGGGAUAACAGGCUGAUACCGCCCAAGAGUUCAUAUCGACGGCGGUGUUUGGCACCUCGAUGUCGGCUCAUCACAUCCUGGGGCUGAAGUCGGUCCCAAGGGUAUGGCUGUUCGCCAUUUAAAGUGGUACGCGAGCUGGGUUCAGAACGUCGUGAGACAGUUCGGUCCCUAUCUGCCGUGGGCGUUGGAUGAUUGAAGGGAGUUGCUCCUAGUACGAGAGGACCGGAGUGAACGAACCUCUGGUGUUCGGGUUGUCACGCCAGUGGCACUGCCCGGUAGCUAAGUUCGGAAUCGAUAACCGCUGAAAGCAUCUAAGCGGGAAGCGAGCCCUGAGAUGAGUCAUCCCUGACCCCUUGAGGGUCCUAAAGGGCCGUUGGAGACCACAACGUUGAUAGGUGGGGUGUGUAAGCGCAGUGAUGUGUUGAGCUAACCCAUACUAAUUACCCGUGAGGCUUAACCAUACAACACCCAAGAAGUGUUCU
rnacentral:rRNA from 1 species